GCCACUGCUAUUGGGGUUCGGCUAAGCCAUGCGAGUGGAGGGCGUCCCGCAAGGGAUGGCCCCGCAGACGGCUCAGUAACACGUCGUCAACCCACCUUAGGGUGGGGGACAACCUCGGGAAACUGAGGAUAAUCCCCCCAUAGGCGGGGGAGGCUAGAAUGCGCCCCCGCUGAAAGCUCAGGCGCCCUAGGACGGGACGGCGGCCUAUCAGGUAGUUGGUGGUGUGACG
rnacentral:rRNA from 1 species